rnacentral:rRNA from 1 species
GAUUUCUGGCUUGAAACAUUUUGCCGGCCACGGUUUCGUGUGUUAGUGCUUGAUGUUCUGGCCAUCCUUCCAAUUGCUAUUGGCCUUUCUUCACUGAUUGGUCAGUAGUAUUGGAUCUUUUACUUUGAAAAAAUUAGAGUGUUUCAAGCAGGCUUUAUGCUAUGAAUACAUUAGCAUGGAAUAAUAAUUUAGGACUUCGGUUCUAUUUUGUUGGUUUCUAGGACUGAAGUAAUGAUUGAUAGGGAUAGUUGGGGGUGCUAGUAUUCAGCGGCCAGAGGUGAAAUUCUUGGAUUCGCUGAAGACUAACUUAUGCGAAAGCAUU